rnacentral:rRNA from 1 species
AGUGAACGCUGGCGGUAGGCCUAACACAUGCAAGUCGAACGGCAGCACAGUAAGAGCUUGCUCUUACGGGUGGCGAGUGGCGGACGGGUGAGGAAUACAUCGGAAUCUACUUUUUCGUGGGGGAUAACGUAGGGAAACUUACGCUAAUACCGCAUACGACCUACGGGUGAAAGCAGGGGAUCUUCGGACCUUGCGCGAUUGAAUGAGCCGAUGUCGGAUUAGCUAGUUGGCGGGGUAAAGGCCCACCAAGGCGACGAUCCGUAGCUGGUCUGAGAGGAUGAUCAGCCACACUGGAACUGAGACACGGUCCAGACUCCUACGGGAGGCAGCAGUGGGGAAUAUUGGACAAUGGGCGCAAGCCGGAUCCAGCCAUACCGCGUGGGUGAAGAAGGCCUUCGGGUUGUAAAGCCCUUUUGUUGGGAAAGAAAAGCAGCAGGUUAAUACCCCGCUGCUCUGACGGUACCCAAAGAAUAAGCACCGGCUAACUUCGUG